ensembl:snRNA U6 U6 spliceosomal RNA
GUGCUCACUUCAGCAACACAUACACUAAAAUUGAAAUAAUACAGAGAAGAUUACCAUGGCCCCUGUGCAAGGAUGAUAUGCAAAUUCAUGAAGCAUUCCAUAUUUUU